CUCAUUUUUCUACUGCUCGUGAUGUUCAGCCCACAAGAGCUUACUGGUGAAGGAAUGGGACAAGACCCAUCUUUAUGCAAAGCCAGCGUUACAGUAAUGUUCCAGGUAUUCCUGAUGACAGUCUGCCUCUAUCUUACAGUACUACUAACCAAUAACCUGCUUGGCUCAAAGGGCCAGCACCUUCUCUCUAAAGCCCAAGAGGAGUUUGAGGAAAACUAGGUGUCUGUGUUCACUCCAGGCUGAAGUUACAGGUCUGAGCAAAUAAGGUGUAUAAAAAAUGGAAUCUGUCUUGGAGGACAUCAGAAGGUGAAUUUUCCAAGUUCUUGGACAACCUAGCUGUUGAAAAGCUUUCUGGGUUUGGGGGGUAUUUCAGAUGUACCUUAAAGUGUUAGCAGACACAGAUUAAGACACUGGGAGCCAAUGAAACAGCAGUUGAGGGUUUGCUGUGUAUCACAUUUCUGUAUUUUAUCACCCCCUUCCUGCAACAUUAUUUAUCUGGAAUCUACCUGCCCUUUUGUUUUUUAGAUACAAGGGCUUGGUUUUGUUACCCAGGCUGGUUUCAAGGCCAUAGCUUUAAGAGAUCCUCUCACCACAGAUUUCCAAAGUGCUGGGAUUGCAGGUGUGAUUCAUGGCACCCAGACUUUGCUGCCUUUCUUACAUGAUCCAGGCCCAGAACCCAAACUCAGGCACUGUAUAGAUGACCACUUUCGUAAACUACUGACCUAGCUUGUUGCCAAUUGUUGAUUGAACUUCCCAUAACUCCACUUCGUGUCUGUUCCUCUGUAUACAGCCACCUUCUGUUCCCGUCAUGAGCCUUUAGGUCUCCAUUUGCAUAUUGCAAAUACUAUGUUCCAUGUAGGUAGCUCAUUCAGGGCCUUGCUCUUCACUUCAAAAAAGGUUCCCUUGAGGACUGGCUGUCAAUUUGUGUUGCUGUGUUGGUUGUUGAUGAAAAUAAUAAAAUGAUUGAUUACAUA
rnacentral:lncRNA from 1 species